rnacentral:rRNA from 1 species
AUUGAACGCUGGCGGCAGGCCUAACACAUGCAAGUCGAGCGGAUGAAGAGAGCUUGCUCUCUGAUUUAGCGGCGGACGGGUGAGUAAUGCCUAGGAAUCUGCCUGGUAGCGGGGGAUAACGUCCGGAAACGGGCGCUCAUACCGCAUACGUCCUACGGGAGAAAGCAGGGGACCUUCGGGCCUUGCGCUAUCAGAUGAGCCUAGGUCGGAUUAGCUAGUUGGUGAGGUAAUGGCUCGCCAAGGCUACGAUCCGUAACUGGUCUGAGAGGAUGAUCAGUCACCGUGGAACGUAGACACGGUCCCGACUCCUACGGGAGGCAGCAAUGGGGAAUAUUGGACAAUGGGCGAAAGCCUGUUCCAGCCAUGCCGCGUGUGUGAAGAAGGUCUUCGGAUUGUAAAGCACUUUAAGUUGGGAGGAAGGGCAGUAAGUUAAUACCUUGCUGUUUUGAUGUUACCGACAGAAUAAGCACCGGCUAACUUCGUGCCAGCAGCCGCCGUAACAC